rnacentral:rRNA from 1 species
CCCAGUGAUAGUUAAUUUAACGGCCGCGGUAUAUUGACCGUGCGAAGGUAGCAUAAUAAUUUGUUCUUUAAUUGAGGACUAGUAUGAAUGGUUGAACAAAAAGCUAACUGUCUCUAAAAUAAAUCUUGAAAUUAACGUUUAAGUGAAAAGGCUUAAGUGCUUUAAGGGGACGAUAAGACCCUAUAAAUCUUUAUAUUUGGAGUUUGUUAAUUUAAAAAGUAAAAUUAAAAUUUUAAUUUAAUAGAUUUAAAUAUUUUGUUGGGGAGACAGGAGUAUAAAAAAUAACUGCUUUAAAGUUUGAGUUAAUAAUAUUUAAUUGAGUGAUCCUUUACUAUGGAUUUUAGAUUAAGUUACUUUAGGGAUAACAGCAUAAUUUCUUUUGAGAGUUCAUAUCGAAAAAGAAGCUUGUGACCUCGAUGUUGAAUUANAGAUCNUUUAUGGUGCAGAAGUUNUNAGA